UACGUAGGGUGCAAGCGUUAAUCGGAAUUACUGGGCGUAAAGCGUGCGCAGGCGGUUUUGUAAGUCUGUCGGGAAAUCCCCGGGCUUAACCUGGGAAUUGCGAUGGAGACUGCAAGGCUAGAAUCUGGCAGAGGGGGGUAGAAUUCCACGUGUAGCAGUGAAAUGCGUAGAGAUGUGGAGGAACACCGAUGGCGAAGGCAGCCCCCUGGGUCAAGAUUGACGCUCAUGCACGAAAGCGUGGGGAGCAAACAGG
rnacentral:rRNA from 1 species